rnacentral:lncRNA from 1 species
GUGGUCUGGGGUUAGCAGUAGACUGUCGAGGAGAGUGGUCUGAGGUUAGUAGUAAACUGUCAGGGGAGAGUGGUCUGAGGUUAGUAGUAGACUGUCAGGGGAGAGUGGCAUGGGGUUAGUAGUAGACUGUCAGGGGAGAGUGUUUUGGGGUUAGCAGUAGACUGUCAGGCGAGAGUGGUCUGGGGUUGGUAGUAGACUGUCAGGGGAGAGUGGUCUGGGGUUAGUAGUAGACUGUCAGGGGAGAGUGGUCUGGGGUUAGUAGUAGACUGUCAGGGUAGAGUGGUCUGGGGUUAGUAGUAGACUGUCAGGGGAGAGUGGUCUGGGGUUAGUAGUAGACUGUUGAGGAGAGUGGUCUGGGGUUAGCAGUAGACUGUCAGGGGAGAGUGGUCUGGGGUUAGCAGUAGACUGUCAGGGGAGAGUGGUCUGAGGUUAGUAGUAGACUGUCAGGGGAGAGUGGUCUGGGGUUAGUAGUAGACUGUCAGGGGAGAGUGGUCUGGUGUUAGUAGUAGACUGUCAGGGGAGAGUGGUCUGGGGUUAGUAGUAGACUGUCAGGGGUGAGUGGUCUGAGGUUAGUAGUAGACUGUCAGGGGAGAGUGGCAUGGGGUUAGCAGUAGACUGUCAGGGGAGAGUGGUCUGAGGUUAGUAGUAGACUGUCAGGGGAGAAUGGUCUGGGGUUAGUAGUAGACUGUCAGGGGAGAGUGGUCUGAGGUUAGUAGUAGACUGUCAGGGGAGAGUGGUCUGGGGUUAGCAGUAGACUGUCGGGGAGAGUGGUCUGGGGUUAGUAGUAGACUGUCAGGGGAGAGUGGCAUGGGGUUAGUAGUAGACUGUCAUGGGAGAGUGGUCUGGGGUUAGUAGGAGACUGUCAGGGGAGAGUGGUCUGAGGUUAGUAGUAGACUGUCAGGGGAGAGUGGUCUGGGGUUAGUAGUAGACUGUCAGGGGAGAG